rnacentral:rRNA from 1 species
UACGGAGGAUGCGAGCGUUAUCCGGAUUUAUUGGGUUUAAGGGGUGCGUAGGCGGAUCGUUAAGUCAGUGGUCAAAUUGAGGGGCUCAACCCCUUCCCGCCAUUGAAACUGGCGAUCUUGAGUGGAAGAGAAGUAUGCGGAAUGCGUGGUGUAGCGGUGAAAUGCAUAGAUAUCACGCAGAACCCCGAUUGCGAAGGCAGCAUGCCGGCUUCCGACUGACGCUGAAGCACGAAAGCGUGGGGAUCGAACAGG